rnacentral:rRNA from 1 species
ACUCCUACGGGAGGCAGCAGUGGGGAAUUUUGGACAAUGGGCGAAAGCCUGAUCCAGCCAUGCCGCGUGAGUGAAGAAGGCCUUCGGGUUGUAAAGCUCUUUUAGUCGGAAAGAAAGAAUUACAAUAAAUAUUUGUGAUUUAUGACGGUACCGACAGAAGAAGCACCGGCUAACUACGUGCCAGCAGCCGCGGUAAU